rnacentral:rRNA from 1 species
GACGUAGGGGGCGAGCGUUGUCCGGAUUUAUUGGGCGUAAAGCGUGCGUAGGCGGCUGCGCAAGUCGGGUGUGAAACCCCGGGGCUCAACCCCGGAACUGCAUCCGAUACUGCGUGGCUAGAGGUAGGUAGGGGAGAUCGGAAUUCCUGGUGUAGCGGCGAAAUGCGCAGAUAUCAGGAGGAACACCGGUGGCGAAGGCGGAUCUCUGGGCCUUACCUGACGCUCAGGCACGAAAGCUAGGGGAGCGAACAGG